AGCUUCUGCUAAUAAUGUUUUGAAUGAAAUUAUAUCAAAAUGUGUUGAAGUAUUGUUUAAGAAUGCUGGAACUUAUGGAAAUAUUGUAUAGAAUAUUUAUAGGAACAUUUGUGUCACAUACUGCAAAGUUCGAUUUGGUCGAUAAGUUGAUAGGCGAUUGUUUGAAGAGAGCUCUUCAUAGAAUAGCAUAAAAAUUACUUUAUUAUGUUUUUGUAUGCUUAAAUUGUAAAUAAACAUUAAAC